rnacentral:lncRNA from 1 species
AUGGCAACAUAACCACCAAAAAUGCUAGAUUUAUUGAAAAGGGAGAUUCUUGCCAUUAUCAAAAAAACUUCAAAACUGCAAGAAGAUUUAUUAGCCUCUAGGAAAAUGUUCAAGAGGGAAAAUCCCCCCAAGGAGAUUGCAACUCAAGAAAAUCUCUCUCCAAUACCAUCUCCAACUCGAUGCCCGAAAACUCCUAUACCUAUGACACCAUCCACACCAAUGAUCAAAGAACCACCUUGCCCCUACAUAUCCAAAGCUAAAGAAAAAUUCUCCCCUUU